rnacentral:rRNA from 1 species
UACGUAGGGGGCGAGCGUUGUCCGGAUUUAUUGGGCGUAAAGAGCGUGUAGGCGGCCAGGUAGGUCUGCUGUGAAAACUCGAGGCUCAACCUCGAGACGUCGGCGGAAACCAUCUGGCUAGAGUCCGGAAGAGGAGAGUGGAAUUCCUGGUGUAGCGGUGAAAUGCGCAGAUAUCAGGAAGAACACCGGUGGCGAAGGCGGCCUGCUGGGCAGUGGCUGACGCUGGAGGCGCGACAGCGUGGGGAGCAAACAGG